rnacentral:misc_RNA from 1 species
AGAAAAGAACGUCUAAAAGCACUGAGAGAAAAGAAGGGGGCCGAUAAUUCUGAGUCAAAAUUAGAAGGAGAACAGUUACCAAAACCUGUGUUCAGAAGCUACAAACCAAAAGAUGAAAGUUUGCAGGAGUCCAAACUUCCACAAGUCAAACCGUCAGACGUGACAGACAAGAUAAAAUCUCACUUGGAGGCUGCUACAGAGGAAAUGAGCAUUGAGGAAGUUGAUCUGAUAAAUUUGGCUCCAAGGAAACCUGACUGGGACCUGAAGAGAGAUGUCGCCAAGAAAUUAGAGAAGUUGGAGAGGAGAACACAGCGCGCCAUAGCAGAGCUUAUCAGGGAACGUUUACAGGCCAGUAACGAAGAUUUAGCCCUCGCAGUAAAUGCAGCUGCCGUGGAUUCAAGAAACGACGACGAUGAUGACGAAGACUGACCAGUGACCGUAUCGUAGGAGAGAAGAGAGAUAACUCUUAUUGAAUUGUUCCAUGUUGCAAGAGAGACAACUCUAUAACCAGAACACAGUGCAAUGCCUUGAAGUCACUCUGUGGGGAAAAGUGAUUGAUAAAAGAGAAUGAAAUGAAUACAUGUACUUAAGUCUUUGUGAGUGAGUAUGUUGUGCAGUAUGAUAAUGUAGAUUUUUCCUUCACAAAGGAAACAUUCAGUAUGGCUGUUGCACCAUAUUGUCAAUUUUAUAAAAAUUGUAAUAAAACUUACUCUCAAGUUC